rnacentral:rRNA from 1 species
CCUACGGGGGGCAGCAGUGGGGAAUAUUGGACAAUGGGCGAAAGCCUGAUCCAGCCAUGCCGCGUGUGUGAAGAAGGCCUUCGGGUUGUAAAGCACUUUCAGUGGGGAAGAAAGCCUUGGGGCUAAUACCCUCGAGGAAGGACAUCACCCACAGAAGAAGCACCGGCUAACUCCGUGCCAGCAGCCGCGGUAAUACGGAGGGUGCGAGCGUUAAUCGGAAUUACUGGGCGUAAAGCGCGCGUAGGCGGUCUGAUAAGCCGGUUGUGAAAGCCCCGGGCUCAACCUGGGAACGGCAUCCGGAACUGUCAGGCUAGAGUGCAGGAGAGGAAGGUAGAAUUACCGGUGUAGCGGUGAAAUGCGUAGAGAUCGGGAGGAAUACCAGUGGCGAAGGCGGCCUUCUGGACUGACACUGACGCUGAGGUGCGAAAGCGUGGGUAGCAAACAGGAUUAGAUACCCUGGUAGUC